GUAGGUGGCAAGCGUUGUCCGGAAUUAUUGGGGCGUAAAGCGCGCGCAGGUGGUUCUUUAAGUCUGAUGUGAAAGCCCCCCGGGCUCAACCGGGGGAGGGUCAUUGGAAACUGAGGAACUUGAGUGCAGGAGAGGAAAGUGGAAUUCCACGUGUAGCGGUGAAAUGCGUAGAUAUGUGGAGGAACACCAGUGGCGAAGGCGACUUUCUGGCCUGUAACUGACACUGAGGCGCGAAAGCGUGGGGAGCAAACAGGAUUAGAUACCCUGGUAGUCCACGCCGUAAACGAUGAGUGCUAAGUGUUGGGGGGUUUCCGCCCCUCAGUGCUGCAGCUAACGCAUUAAGCACUCCGCCUGGGGAGUACGGUCGCAAAGACUG
rnacentral:rRNA from 1 species